UACGUAGGUCCCGAGCGUUGUCCGGAUUUAUUGGGCGUAAAGCGAGCGCAGGUGGUUUAUUAAGUCUGGUGUAAAAGGCAGUGGCUCAACCAUUGUAUGCAUUGGAAACUGGUAGACUUGAGUGCAGGAGAGGAGAGUGGAAUUCCAUGUGUAGCGGUGAAAUGCGUAGAUAUAUGGAGGAACACCGGUGGCGAAAGCGGCUCUCUGGCCUCUAACUGACACUGAGGCUCGAAAGCGUGGGGAGCAAACAGG
rnacentral:rRNA from 1 species